UCCUCCGUGAGGAGGAAUCUGAAGGAAGCCUAAGGUAAAUCUCCGGCCUGACGAACAGAAAGCAGAUGAGGCAAUUAACAGUGGGUGAGUUUGCCAUACAAAACAAAGCCCAAAACUAUCCGAACUAGUUAGUUGUAUAUCUGCCAGGUAUAUGGAGAGAAAGUUUGCGCA
rnacentral:ncRNA from 1 species